rnacentral:misc_RNA from 1 species
GAUGAAGAACGUAGUGAAAUGCGAUACUUGGUGUGAAUUGCAGAAUCCCGUGAACCAUCGAGUCUUUGAACGCAAGUUGCGCCCGAAGCCAUUAGGCCGAGGGCACGCCUGCCUGGGCGUCACACGUCGUUGCCCCCCCCAUCUACUCCUUCGGGAUUGCGGGGGGCGGAUGAUGGCCUCCCGUGCGCCUCGCCGCGCGGUUGGCAUAAAUGCCAAGUCCUCGGCGACGCACGCCACGACAAUCGGUGGUUGCGAAACCUCGGUUGCCUGUCGUGUGCGGUCGUCGCGCAUCGAGGGCUCGAAAAAAUUGCCGGGCUUCGGCUCGACUUUCAACGCGACCCCAGGUCAGGCGGGGUUACCCGCUGAAUUUAAGCAUAUCAAUAAGCGGAGGA